GUAUAUGGUCACUUUAUAUUUGGCCAUCUGCUAACGUCUUCUAUCCACUCCACUAUAGUACACGGAUCUGGUAGAUGUGUUGAAAAAGUUGAUAAGUCAACUUUUUAAAAUAACUUUGUCUGUGUUACUUCACUGCUGAUUCUUACCAUACUUCCGUUGCCAAACUGCGUGCACCUACGUUGCCACAUCAUCAUUGUGUACAAAGAGUAAAAGGGUCUAUAAAGACUCAUACAAAAUACUCCAAAGUUUUUUCAAGAGGACAUCACCCAACCCAUCUAAAGGAUGAAAACAAUACUCUUGUUGAAUACUACAUGAGACAAACCAUCCUGACUUAGAUCACCAUCAUCCCCUGCAUCGUGCCCUUCAUCAGACACCCAAAAUGCA